ACUAUUGUAUUAUAAAUAUAAUAUAUUGUAUAUUUUGAUUUCAGUGAACAAAAAAAUAAUAAGCUACUAAUAUAAACGGACAGUUCGUUAAACCGUACAUAUUAUAAUGUUAAAACUUACAUUAAAAAUACAAACUCGCAAAUUUCAUUAUGAUCAGGUUAUUUUCAUAAAGUAUUUCGAUACUUUCAAGUUUCAGUUCAUCGGAGUGAGAUGAUUAGAUGGAGAUGGAUGAAGAUAGCUGUUUCUUCGGCGAUGGCGGCACUCUAGCUACGUUUCACCGGAAGAGUAGAUGUUUACGAACUGAACUUUUGAAUCGGAGAUAUGAAGACGCGCGCUGCAUUUUCCUUGGCGGAGAUGCACAGCUCUGACACUAGACAAUAUUAUACACUCGAAGGGAACGCGUUUCGCCGGAAGAAUAAAUAAUUACAAAUGGUAUUCGUCAGUGAACAUUUUCAAACUGGGAAUAAUAAAUCAUAAGCAGAUUGAAAUGUGUGAACGUUUCAGUGUUUCGAAGACUAAGUUUCGUAGCAGAUUUUGAUUCCGUCACGGGGU